rnacentral:lncRNA from 1 species
GGGAAGGGGCUCCGAGGAGCAAAGAAUGGCGGCGAGGCGCUGCCGGGAGCAGCAGAAGGCAGCGAGGAGAAGCCGUGAAGCUGCAGAGCGGCGGAGUUGUCUUUUCUCCUUCCCAGGCUGGAAUCUUCCUUCCGCCUUGCUGUGCUGUGGGGAGCAGCUGGAGGCGAUUCUCGUGCAUGAGCGAGGGGUGCAGCCUGGUUCCACCCGGCCCUGAGCUCACGGAAGGGCUGGCUGCCCGCAGGGAAGGAGCUCUGCUUGAGGUCUGCUCCUGGGUGGGCUUUUGUGUGCCCUGUUCCUCAGGAAGGGGUAAGCAGUGCUGGGGUUAUUUGCUAGAUGGAGUGCGCUUGUGUUUCUUGGCUUCCUGAAAGCUGUGUGUGUCUUUUUCACUGCUGGCUGGAGAGACUCGGGGGAGAAAGCGUUGUGCUUGAUGGCACGGUUUCCUUGGGCAAAGGAUGCUUUGGCAGCAGAGGUUUGCUGUCAGGAGGCAUGAAAGCACUGAAGCCAAUGCUGCCGUGCCCUGGGCCCAGAGACAUCAUCUCCCAGCACGUCCCUGGCGGUGGAUGUGUGCAAGCUCUGUGUCUGCCAGUGGUUGCUCCAAAGGCUUUGUGGUCAGCUGUGCGUGGCUGUUUUGCUCUUGAGGGCGUGGGAACAGAGGGCAACACGCUGAUGGGAGUGAUGGUGUCCUGCUCAGCAAUGGAUGUGCUGGGUGGCAGAAGAGGAUUCUUGGCCGAGCGUGGAAAAUCUCUCUGCUCCUUCCUGAAGGACGCAAUCUUCCACUUGGAAAGGGCCUCCCAAGGAUCCCUGGUAUCCCGUGAGAACUCUGAGCUGCCGCACCAAUUUGAAGCUGACUUCAUUUUUGGUCUUCCCCUUCAGCAGAAAAGCUCAGACAGCCGAGCCAAGCGAGACGCUGGAUUUCCUUUGGCAUCAAGGAAAGCAUCGUGACAUGUUCUGAUGCCCUCUCACAAUUCUUUCUCCCUCCGCCAGCACCAGAGCUGGCGUCCAAAGACGCAAUGACACUGCCACAGGCAUUGUGGAGAUUUCUAUGGGAUAGGGCCAUGGUAAGGCUUUAUUGACAGAGGGAGGGACAAUGAAGAUUGGAUGUCAGGGAGAAGGUCUUUCCAGAGACGGUGGUGAGAUGCUGGAAGCGGAUGCCCAGAGAGCUUGUGGACGCCGCGUCCGUGGCAGGGUUGAAGGCCAGGUUGGAUUGGGCACUCGGCAGCCUAGUCUAGGAUUAGAUAUGAUGCAGAUGGGAUUCAAGCAUCUGUUUUGCAGCCAGCUCGAGUGGAGCUCUUGGAGCUCGUGGGCGCCCCAUGCCCGCAUCAGCGUGGG